AUUUAGGUAGCUUAAGAUAAAGCAUAUCUCUGAAGAAGAUAAGAUGGGCCUCUCCCUAGAUA
rnacentral:tRNA from 1 species